rnacentral:rRNA from 1 species
UUAUUGGAAUAAAUUAAUUAAUUUUUAAUUAAUUAUAAUAAUGAUUGAAUUAGUAUAUUUUAAAAUUAAGUUAUAGGAACUCGGCAAUUUGAAUGUUCGCCUGUUUAACAAAAACAUGUCCUUUUGUUGAUUUAUUUAAGGUUUAACCUGCCCAAUGAUUUAUUUAAUGGCCGCGGUAUUUUAACCGUGCUAAGGUAGCAUAAUCACUUGUCUUUUAAUUGAGGGCUAGAAUGAAAGGUUGGACGAGGUAUUAUCUUUCUUUAAUUUAAUUAUUGAAUUUAAUUUUUAGGUUAAAAAGCUUAAAUUUAUUUGUUGGACGAGAAGACCCUAUAGAUCUUAACAUUUAAUUUAAUUGUGGUUUUUAGUGAUUAAUAUAUUAUUAUUAAUCAUGUGUUUGAUUGGGGUGAUUGUAGAAUUAUAAUAACUUCUAUUUGUGUUUUUCAUUAAUUAGUGUUUUAUUGAUCCAUUUAUAAUGAUUAUAAGAUUAAGUUACCUUAGGGAUAACAGCGUAAUUUUUUCGGAGAGUUCAUAUCGAUGAAUAAGUUUGCGACCUCGAUGUUGGAUUAAAAUUAGUUCUGGGUGAAGAAGUUCAUGGACUAGGUCUGUUCGACCUUUAAAUUUUUACAUGAUCUGAGUUCAGACCGGCGUGAGCCAGGUCAGUUUCUAUCUUCAACUUAUUAUUACAUAUUAGUACGAAAGGACCAUAUGUUUGGAAAAUUUUCUUUAUUUAUGUAUAACAUUGCUA